AGAGUUUGAUCCUGGCUCAGGAUGAACGCUGGCGGCGUGCCUAAUACAUGCAAGUCGAGCGAACGGACGAGAAGCUUGCUUCUCUGAUGUUAGCGGCGGACGGGUGAGUAACACGUGGAUAACCUACCUAUAAGACUGGGAUAACUUCGGGAAACCGGAGCUAAUACCGGAUAAUAUUUUGAACCGCAUGGUUCAAAAGUGAAAGACGGUCUUGCUGUCACUUAUAGAUGGAUCCGCGCUGCAUUAGCUAGUUGGUAAGGUAACGGCUUACCAAGGCAACGAUGCAUAGCCGACCUGAGAGGGUGAUCGGCCACACUGGAACUGAGACACGGUCCAGACUCCUACGGGAGGCAGCAGUAGGGAAUCUUCCGCAAUGGGCGAAAGCCUGACGGAGCAACGCCGCGUGAGUGAUGAAGGUCUUCGGAUCGUAAAACUCUGUUAUUAGGGAAGAACAUAUGUGUAAGUAACUGUGCACAUCUUGACGGUACCUAAUCAGAAAGCCACGGCUAACUACGUGCCAGCAGCCGCGGUAAUACGUAGGUGGCAAGCGUUAUCCGGAAUUAUUGGGCGUAAAGCGCGCGUAGGCGGUUUUUUAAGUCUGAUGUGAAAGCCCACGGCUCAACCGUGGAGGGUCAUUGGAAACUGGAAAACUUGAGUGCAGAAGAGGAAAGUGGAAUUCCAUGUGUAGCGGUGAAAUGCGCAGAGAUAUGGAGGAACACCAGUGGCGAAGGCGACUUUCUGGUCUGUAACUGACGCUGAUGUGCGAAAGCGUGGGGAUCAAACAGGAUUAGAUACCCUGGUAGUCCACGCCGUAAACGAUGAGUGCUAAGUGUUAGGGGGUUUCCGCCCCUUAGUGCUGCAGCUAACGCAUUAAGCACUCCGCCUGGGGAGUACGACCGCAAGGUUGAAACUCAAAGGAAUUGACGGGGACCCGCACAAGCGGUGGAGCAUGUGGUUUAAUUCGAAGCAACGCGAAGAACCUUACCAAAUCUUGACAUCCUUUGACAACUCUAGAGAUAGAGCUUUCCCCUUCGGGGGACAAAGUGACAGGUGGUGCAUGGUUGUCGUCAGCUCGUGUCGUGAGAUGUUGGGUUAAGU
rnacentral:rRNA from 1 species